GGAAACACGAAAAACUCUCAGCAGAAAAGCAUAAAACAUUGAUUCUAAUGUAACUAUCCCUAAAGAAGUCAUAAAAAGGAUGCAAGUCUGGCGAGAAGUCGUGGUAAAAGGAACGAAAUGGUGAAAGAAAAUGAUUCCCAGAAAGUUGAAAUUUCUUGCACUUUUCACUGCCCUAGUAUUCGUAUUUUGUGAAUGGAUAGUGUACUACGUAGUUAUAUACCAGUGCUCAUGGCCAGAGCUCAGUCCAGAAGGAAAGAAAUGGGGUGUAGAUCCUCUGAGAGCCAUGUUUUUGACAGACACCCACCUACUUGGAUCUGAAGAUGGUCACUGGUUCGACAAGCUUAGAAGAGAGUGGCAGAUGGAGAGAGCUUUUCAAACAGCGAUAACUAUAUUUGAACCAGAUGUUGUGUUCGUGCUUGGGGACUUGUUUGAUGAAGGGAUGAAAUGCAGUGAUGAGGAAUUUGAAUAUCAUGUCAGUCGCUUCCAUAAGAUGUUCAGGCAUCCUCAAGAUAUGCAGUUCCAUGUUGUUGUAGGCAACCAUGAUAUCGGCUUUCAUGAUGUUGCUUCUGUAAAGAAAGCCCAUUUUGAAAGAUUUUCAAAGGCCUUUAAUGUCCCUCCUGCAGAGUUACUUCAGAUUAAAGGAAACGUGUUUGUGGUAGUAAACUCUAUAGGACUUGAGGGUGACAACUGUUAUAUGUGUAGUAAUGUUGUGAGUCAGAUGAAACAAAUAGCAAGGAAAAUUAACUGUUAUGAGGAAAGAGGAAAUACAAGAAGAAAUAUUAUAAAAGAACUAGAAAAAACACAAGAAUGUGAAGUUCCAUACGAUGCACCCUCACCUAUACUCAUUCAGCACUAUCCUCUAUAUCGCGAAGACGAAAAAAAGUGUACUGGUGUAGAUGCACCUCCACCAGACCAACAAAGCAAAGUGAACCGGCCAAAAUGGGAGGUAGUAUCACAGGAGGCGACAGCUCUCCUGUUAGAGUCAUUUAGACCACGCCUUGUUCUUAGUGGCCACACCCAUCAUGGUUGUUAUUUGAUCCACGAUGAUGGGACACCAGAGCUGACCAUACCAUCAUUUAGUUGGAGGAAUAGAAAUAACCCAAGUUUUGUGAUGGCUGUAAUAACGCCCAAGAAUUUCGAAUUAUCAAAAUGCUUCAUACCCCAGGAAAGUACAGUAAUAAUCAUUUAUAUAUUUGCUGCAUUUGUACUGUCAUUUGCUAGUUUUUCAUGUUGGUUGAAUCUCCUAAAAUCUUUACCAAAAAAGGUUUCUAGGAAAAUAACUAGAUCUCUAAACACGAAUUACCAUAGAGUGCAAGUUGAUAACUGCUGGUGAUAAUAACGUUUAAACCCAGAUAACAACCUUUCGUCAUCCUAUAAAGGGAGAUGAAAUGGGAACUGAAUGAAUCAUAUUCAUGCCCUGGAAAUGAGAUUUAUGUCGCUGGGGCAAGAAAAUAAAAUGGCCAAAAUUGAAUAUCUUCAAAAAACAUUGAACUGAAUUAUUUAUAUUUAUGCCCUGGAAAUGAGAUUUAUGUUGCUGGGGCAAGAAAAUAAAAUCGCCAAAAUUGGAUAUCUUUAACAAUCAUAUCCAGAAUUGGGAUAUACCAAAAUUUAGGCUGUAUUUUAUUUUCUCGAUUAUUGAAUUUAUGAAUUUUAUACUUGGAUAUUAUAUGAAUAUUGGAAUGAGAACUUAGUCAUAAGAAAGCAAUUUUUAUUGAUUUGAUAUGUAUUCUUGGAUAGUCAGAAGUUGGUGAUUGAAUUCGAGAUUGGAUGUGUUUUAAACGGCAUUGUUGGGUAGCGUCAAAAUUGAGAAAAACAAUUAAAUUACAAAUAAAUAAAUGGAUGAUUAGAUAAGUAGAUAGGCAGGAUUUAUGCAAAGUCCCGUGCGGGAUAAUAUCUUGGAUUCAGGAAACCCGAGAAUAAUUAUUUUGCAGUUAAUUAAUAUAUGAAGUGUGGCACGACAGGGACAUCGUAUGGUAUGCCAUUACGUAGCACUCAAAUGGCUUCCCAUUGGCAUUUUCGUUUAAUUCACCCAAUCAAAAUGCAGUUAUAAAGUUAUAAUCCUCCUUACAUCUCGAGUACCAAGCAUCAAUCUUCCCACCCGAUAGAGGAUGUAAAGAUAGAACUGAUUGGGACUUCAGUUAAUGUCAUUGGUUAGUUCUUGGGGGUACAUUGAUGCAAGACGUGAUAUGGUUGGUAUCCAAGUGCAGUUACCAAGAAGAUGCAGUCUCAAGUCUCUUGUUUCAUCUAUUUACGAGUUCGUAUUGAUUAUCAACCUGACGUUGUUUCCAUGGCAAUGAUGAAUACUAUCAUUCAACUUAUUUGUAUCAUCCAGUACCAAGUUUGUACUCAUGUUAGGAGAUAUUCUCAACUUAUUUCCAUGACAAUGAUGAUUACCAUCAUUCAAGUCUCUUGCUUUGUCAAGUACGGAGUUCGUACUCGUAUUGGUUGUCAAUCUCAACUUGUUUCCAUGGCAAUGAUGGUUACCAUCAUUCAAGUCUCUUGUAUCAUCUAGUACGGAGUUUGUACUCGUAUUGGCUGUCAAUCUGACUUUAUUUCCAUGGCAAUGACGGUUACCAUCAUUCAAGUCUCUUGUAUCAUCUAGUACGGAGUUCGUACUCGUAUUGACUGUCAAUCUGACUUUAUUUCCAUGGCAAUGAUGGUUAACAUCAUUCAAGUCUCUUGCUUUGUCAAGUACGGAGUUCGUACUCGUAUUGGUUGUCAAUCUCAUCUUGUUGCCAUGGCAAUGAUGACUGUUUUCAGUGAACGCAUUACCGUAAUACGUCACCGUGACCUCCAAGUUAUGAUUUCUCCUCUUCCCUGUGUAUAACCUACAUAUACCAGUCGCAAAUCUCACAAACUCUUUCCUGUAUUUCUCGUGGAAUACAGUGUAGACGAUAGGAUCCGCGGCGCUGUUAGCAAACACACAAAUAUUAGCCACUACCAACCAACUACUACAACCAAUAAAACUGUUGUCUUCGAUGAAGUCCAUCAUCACCCAGACAAUAUGAUUGGGUAACAUGCAGAUGGCGAAAAGUACUGUCACUGCGAUUGCUGUACGAAGGACUUUCCGUGUCUCUAUAGCGUGCUCAUUGCGCGUGCAUUGAUGAUACCGUGCAGAAUUUGCCGCCAUCUCAAAGUAAAUCCUCACAUAAGCCCAGAAGAUGAGAGCUAAUGGUAUUAGGUAUUGUGCAAUGAAGAUGCUAAUGGUGUACGUCGUUCGAUAGAGGUGUGCAGGUUGCGGCCAGUCUUCUUCACACUGGUUAGUGUCUCUAUUCACACGAAGAACAAGACCAUAAGGAAUUACAAACACUAACGAUGACAGCCAUAUGAUACAAAUGACAGCUCGCGUGGCCGGUAGAUUUAGUUGGCGUUUCAUCGGAUGCACGACAGCGCGAAACCGACUCAAACUGAUCGCCGCCAGGGUAAACACCGAUGCAAAAGCGCACAUUGUCUGAAGUGGGAAUAUUACCUUACAAAGUGAUUCGUGGAAAGGCCAUUUGUAGCCGUUUUCUUGGACCGGAAGGUCAAAUGGGAUACAAAUGACUGUAAAGGCAAGGUCAGCAACGGCAAGAUUCACGAGAAAGUAAUUCAUCACUGUCUUCAUACCAGCUUUUCUCCAUACUACCACACAAACGCAUGAAUUCCCAAUAAAACUGAUAACAAAAAUGACGCCAUAAAAUGCGUAUUUUGUCAUUCUAAACUCGAAAGUCUCYUUAGAACAAGAAACGCUAUCUUCAAUUGUUAAAUUCCAAAACCUAGUGUUUGAAGUAUUCUCCAUGGCCAGUAUCAGGGAAGGAUUCCGCAACCACUAGGCCACGUGAUGAACCGACGUGAUAGAUGGACUGAUGUCUUUUCCUUUUUUUGGUGAUAUUUUUUUACUUACGAUUUUUUCCUACUUGAGUAUGAAACAGGAACACUCCAGGCAACUGCUCUUAAAUCUCCAUUGAAGUUUAAAGUUUUCUUUGGUUCUUUGUUGGAUGACUGUCCGUUCCCUGGAUCUGAAGAUUCUCUCACAGAAACUCAACCUAUAACRUCCCUUAAGGUCUAUCAAUAGAUUUCAAUAACCCAUCACUGUAAUGACGUUGUUUGUCUAAAGUACCUCGGCUGGAGUUUUAAAAGAACCUUGAUUCAUUUGCAAUUGCGACGCUUCUAGCGGUCUUGUCGUUGUUUACACCUCGCUACAGCAUAAAUACUCACUAGCAGAGUUUUUAAUAAAUCCGAUAAAAUUUGUUAUGACUGAGGCAAUUUCUUUCUCCUAUCCAAAAAGACGUCUCUUUUUUUUUCAAUAACGUCGCUUCCGAUGGCUUUCCUAAUUUGAAGGCUGCAAUUUUUUUGAAUUCAAUAACKUUUUGGUUGUAGAUUUACCGCGCGAAAUACUCUGAACUCUACAAUUAGCUAGUGUGUUUGUGUCCAAUCGUUUUGUAACGAAUACACCAAUAUCAAUUCUUUAAACGGCAACUUCUUCUUCUUUUAUAUCUUGGUUCCAGUAGUUGCAGCUUCAAUCAUGAAUUCAUCAGCUCGUCUAUAUUCUAGUCUGACUCAUCUUGCGUCGCCUUGUCACUCCGUUUUGUUACAUCCAUUUUAGGCCGCUUCCGACAAUCAUUUCUGUUACUGAUGUUUUCAUACGCACCUUGGUUCAUAUUAUCUUCUUUAAAUGAAUUCCAAACUGGCUCUAAUUCGUGCGACAGGAGUCGACUUACAUCACUAAGCGUACGAUGAUGAUUACUUUCACGCUGAAAAUCACCGCCUUGUGACGUCACAAAAUGUUACAAAAAUAUAAACAUAGGUAUAAAUGCGAUACGUUCAAACCACUUAAAAAAUCUAAAUCAAGACAGUUAAAAUGUUUCCGUUCCGCAGUAUGUUUAUUCAAUCCCUUGUCAGGAGCUUUUUGUUGUAUUCCUAGUCGCGCAUGCGCGGUUGGCUCGUUCCUCUGUUGCUAGUGAUUUGUAACAUAGUAAACAAAUAGUUGAACAUGAAACUUGUUUUGUAUCCUAGGAAAUUUCAUUUAGGUGUACGUGUACAUUGGUUUUUGCUGUAGUAGUUGAUUGAAAUGUGCAAUCAAUAUUCUUUGGAGGCAAUCAUAACAUCAAAAAUUGUUAUUGGAGGGUUCAGGCUUUUUUAUAAUUUUUUAAAAAUUAAUUGGGUGUGAAACCUCUAGAAGAAGCACUAAUUUCGCUCCCAAGACGAGGGACAUUUUUUCUCUCUUUAAGAAAACCCUUUUGGUAUUUUCAAUCGGGAAUUAUGUAAAGUAUAAAAAUGCUUGAAAUGAUUUGGUUCGUGACUUUCUGUGAUAUAGACAGAAAAGCUGAAUAAAACAAUCUACUGCAA